UACGGAGGGUGCAAGCGUGUCCGGAAUCACUGGGCGUAAAGGGCGCGUAGGCGGCUCAUGAAGGCUGUGGUGAAAGUCCGGGGCUCAACCUCGGAUCGGCCCGUGGCGACUCGUGGGCUGGAGCACUGUAGAGGCGGGUGGAAUUCCGGGUGUAGCGGGUGGAAUGCGUAGAGAUCCGGAAGAACACCAGUGGCGAAGGCGCCCGCUGGGCAGUGGGCUGACGCUGAGGCGCGGACAGCGUUGGGGAGC
rnacentral:rRNA from 1 species